UACGUAGGGGGCAAGCGUUGUCCGGAUUUACUGGGCGUAAAGCGCGUGUAGGCGGUUGAGUUAGUCUGCUGUGAAAUCUCCGGGCUUAACCUGGAGGGGUCGGUGGAAACUGCUCGACUUGAGGACGGUAGAGGGGGGUGGAAUUCCCGGUGUAGUGGUGAAAUGCGUAGAGAUCCGGAGGAACCCCAGAGGCGAAGGCGGCCCCCUGGCUCGUACCUGACGCUCAGCCACGAAAGCAUGGGGAGCGAACGGG
rnacentral:rRNA from 1 species